GAGAGUAUAGCUCAGUGGCAGAGGACAUGCCUAGCAUGCAUAGAGGUCCUGGGUUCAAUUCCCAGUACCUUCA
rnacentral:tRNA from 1 species